rnacentral:rRNA from 1 species
UACAGAGGGGGCAAGCGUUGUUCGGAAUUACUGGGCGUAAAGGGCGCGUAGGCGGCCUUCUAAGUCGAACGUGAAAUCCCCGGGCUCAACCCGGGAACUGCGUCCGAGACUGGAAGGCUCGAAUCCGGGAGAGGGAUGUGGAAUUCCAGGUGUAGCGGUGAAAUGCGUAGAUAUCUGGAGGAACACCGGUGGCGAAGGCGGCGUUCUGGACUGCAACUGACACUGAGAGACGAAAGCCAGGGGAGCAAACGGG